rnacentral:misc_RNA from 1 species
GCAAACUUGGUCAUUUAGAGGAAGUAAAAGUCGUAACAAGGUCUCCGUAGGUGAACCUGCGGAGGGAUCAUUACAGAGUUCGCGCCCCCUGGGCGGACCUCCAACCCAUUGUUAUUGCUACGAUUGUUGCUUUGGCGGGCUCGCCCGCCAGAGGCCCUGUAGACUCUGGAUAUGAACGUCGUCUGAGUACUAUAUAAUCGCUAAAACUUUCAACAACGGAUCUCUUGGUUCUGGCAUCGAUGAAGAACGCAGC